GCCUGGGUGGCUCAGUAGUUGAGCACCUGACUUUGGCUCAGGUCAUAAUCCCAGGGUCCUAGGAUCGUGUCUUAAAUCAGGCU
rnacentral:tRNA from 1 species